rnacentral:rRNA from 1 species
GUGCCAGCCGCCGCGGUAAUACGGAGGAUGCAAGCGUUAUCCGGAAUGAUUGGGCGUAAAGCGUCCGUAGGUGGUUAUGUAAGUCUGUGGUUAAAGCGUGGGGCUCAACCCCAUAAAGGCCAUGGAAACUACAAGACUUGAGUAAAGUAGGGGUAGAGGGAAUUCCCAGUGUAGCGGUGAAAUGCGUAGAGAUUGGGAAGAACACCGGUGGCGAAAGCGCUCUACUGGACUUAAACUGACACUGAGGGACGAAAGCUAGGGGAGCGAAAGGGAUUAGAUACCCCUGUAGUCCUAGCCGUAAACGAUGGAUACUAGGUGUUGCCCGUAUCGACCCGGGCAGUGCCGUAGCUAACGCGUUAAGUAUCCCGCCUGGGGAGUACGCACGCAAGUGUGAAACUCAAAGGAAUUGACGGGGGCCCGCACAAGCGGUGGAGUAUGUGGUUUAAUUCGAUGCAACGCGAAGAACCUUACCAGGGCUUGACAUGUCUGGAAUCUCUGCGAAAGUAGAGAGUGCCUUCGGGAACCAGAACACAGGUGGUGCAUGGCUGUCGUCAGCUCGUGUCGUGAGAUGUUGGGUUAAGUCCCGCAACGAGCGCAACCCUCGUUUUUAGUUGCCAUCAUUAAGUUGGGCACUCUAGAAAGACUGCCGGUGACAAACCGGAGGAAGGUGGGGAUGACGUCAAGUCAGCAUGCCCCUUACGCCCUGGGCUACACACGUACUACAAUGCUCUGGACAAAGGGCAGCCAACCAGCGAUGGUGCGCUAAUCCCAUAAACCAGGGCUCAGUUCAGAUUGCAGGCUGCAACUCGCCUGCAUGAAGGCGGAAUCGCUAGUAAUCGCAGGUCAGCAUACUGCGGUGGAUCCGUUCCCGGGCCUUGUACACACCGCCCGCCGCACCAUGGGAGUUGGUCACGCCCGAAGUCGUUACUCUAACCCUUGUGGAAGAGGACGCCGAAGGUAGGGCUGAUGACUGGGGUGAAGUCGUAACAAGGUAACC